UACGUAGGGGGCGAGCGUUAUCCGGAUUUAUUGGGCGUAAAGCGUGUGUAGGCGGUUUAUUAAGUAUAAGAUCAAAGCCUGGAGCUCAACUCCAGUAAGUCUUAUAAACUGGUAGACUAGAGUAUGGUAGAGGCAAGUGGAAUUUCUAGUGUAGCGGUAAAAUGCGUAGAUAUUAGAAGGAACACCAGUGGCGAAGGCGGCUUGCUGGGCCAGAACUGACGCUGAGACACGAAAGCGUGGGGAGCAAAUAG
rnacentral:rRNA from 1 species